rnacentral:rRNA from 1 species
CACAGAGAGUGCAAACGUUGUUCGGAAUUACUGGGCUUGAAGCGCACGUAGGCGGCGUUGUAAGUGUCGGGUGAAAUCCCACGGCUCACCCGUGGAACUGCCCGGCAUACUGCGAUGCUAGAGUGUGGUAGGGGAGAGCGGAACUCCUGGUGGAGCGGUGAAAUGCGUAGAUAUCAGGAGGAACACCGGUGGCGAAGGCGGCUCUCUGGGCCGUAACUGACGCUGAGGAGCGAAAGCGUGGGGAGCGAACAGG